UCUUGAACAUGGCCAACAGCUGCAUGUGUAUCGUGAGCAGCUCCAAAAGACAGUGCAGGAGCUACAGCAAGCACAUACAUGCUGUGAAUCUCUGAACAGACAGAUAGAUGAAGUCACCCAGCAAGCACAUCAGAAGGAGAUGUGUUCUACACAUGCUGAGGUCAGACUCCAGGCCACCAUUACUACCCUACAACAGGAGAUUGAGCAGCAGAGAGAGGAGCACCACAAAGAGCUUUCAGCUCUCCAGCAGACGCGUGGGCAGCUGCUGAAGGUGUUGGAUCAGAUCUCCAGCAGCUUGCGUAACUCUCAGGAGCAGCUGAGCCAGCGGCUGCAACAGGCCCGAGACCAGCUUGAGGAGGCUAGAUCUACCUCUGCUCGCCUAAACGCUGAGCUUCACAGCAAAGAGCAGCUCCUGCAGAGUGCUAAUGAGACCCUGCUUAUUAAGGAGUCCGAGAUCACCCGUCUUCAAGCCAAGCUCUCCAGCUUUGAAAGGGCCACAGAACUACACAGCAUCACACUUCGUCAUAAACCCAGCACUCCUCCCCCUCUGUCUCCUCCUCUCAAAGACUCAAUUCUUCUCGGCUUCCCGCACCCCUCUCACAAAAACACUUCAGCACGUUCCAGCAGAACACUACCUCUGACACCUCUCUGGAGCUUUCAGACAGUUUGAAAGCCAGUGAACAGGCUGCAAUGCUGCUGCCCCCCCUUCCCAGACCAGACCUGGCAGGGUCUGUGCACUCAUGAGGCCACCUCCACUACAGACAUGUCCUUUAAUCCACUCACAUACAUGCUGGACCAAGAGCAACCAGAGGAACCAGACCUAGACUCUCUGUCAGGUAUGCUGAGGUUUGUUAACCAGACUCUGGCCCUCCAAGAGCAACAAUCUCUCUGUGACACCAGCACCCACAUAACAGGCAAGUAACAUAACUGCAUAUAAGCACUUUUCUCAUAUUUCUCACAUACACAAUCAAGUGGAUUUUUAAAUGUUUAUUAACUUAUUAUCGCUCAUACUUAAAAGCAUAGUUCACCCU
ensembl:lncRNA